UCAGCACACCACACUUUGGCAGGAGGCGAGGGGGCUUCUCUCCACAUGCAUUUUUGGGAGCAAUGUCCCCGUAGACUUGUGUUCUUUUAUUCAUUGACUCACACAUUCAUAUCCGGAUGGGCUUUUGCUGAUGCCUCACUAAGCGCAAGCCCCGUGCUGGGCCCUGGACAAGACGCCACCAGCCCUCGGGCAGCUGACCCGGCCAGGGAGAAGCCGGCCCCACAGCCACCUGACUGUUCCACUGAACGUGGGGACAGGAGCUCUGGGAGUGCAGAGAGGGGCAGGUCGGUUGUCCUGGGGGUUCAGAGAAAGUCAGUCCGCUGAGUUCUGAAGAGCAAAUAGAAGUUUGGAGGGUAAAGGAGAAGGCAAGGACAUCCAGAGGAGAGCCUGAGAGCCUGGAUGGGACGUCCCCGUGGCUGCAGCACCCGCUGUCCCUCCUAAGUGGCCUCCAGUCGCCACAGACAGAGUUGUUAAGUGUUGGGUAUCUGGGGCAGACAGAGCCUACAAGGUCCUGAGGAGACACGUCAGAGAGACCCCAAAGGGAGUUCUUAAAGCCAUUUCCGGGGAUGGAUUGAGGAGGAAAGGGAGACACAGGGGGCUUGGAAAAGCCCGAGCCAUGAAGUCAAAAGGUGGGUGCAUGUGGACAGGGGAGGGAGGGGGGAAACGCACUUCUGGACGGAUUGCGGGAGGUCUGGCCCCUCAGGGCUGAGGGAACUUGGGUGGGCAUCAGCGGGACCUCACCUGCUGCCACUCAGGAGACUAACGGCUCCGGUGCUGGCUCCCUGACAGCAUGGCCUCUGCCCCUGAGCUUACAGAACAUGCUCCCACGCAGAACCCCACUGAGCCUCACACAGCCUGGGACACACGCGGUGUCGUCAUCACACACAGAGACUGUGUCUCCUGCUCAGCAACCCCCAGCUUCAGGGAGCACUUGCUGGACGCACCAGCCUGUGAAAGGCCGCCCCCUGGCGGUCCGCCACUGACACCAGCACCUCAGAGUCCAUAAACUACAAGGUCAAGGUGAACCGGCCACACAGAACAGGUGACAGUGGGACUGAAAGUGUCUAAGGAAUAAGAACAUACCCCCAAGAAGUCUUCGAGAAAGGCCAGUGGUGUGAAUCUGCCUCUUCUUCUCGGUCUGCAUUUCCCUACCUCAUCUCGUGGAAAGAGGGGCAAUUGAAAAUGCCAAGUGGUGUUGGCAUCCACUGUUCCCUUGUCACUGGUCCUUGAAGACUUGGUGUGUCUGGGGUGUGAGUAAGCACGUGUGCAUUUGGAGGACUGUCACUGCUUCUCUCACAUCACUCAAAUCCCUGUAUGGUUAAUUAAAAGCCAUGGCAUCAUCUCUCCUGUGACAUGGGAUGAUCCCUGCUCUACUGUCCGUCAUCCUAAUUAGCAAGGAGAGAAGGGAUUUGUCUGCUUUCAAUGUGUAUGUUUUAAAGCUGGCGAAACUCACAGGAGAUGGGCCUGAGCGAAUCCAGCAUGAAAUUCUAUUCAGAAAAUCGUUUGUGAAUUUUGAAACAUGAUCUUGGCCUUGUUCA